CCCUACGGGACGCAGCAGUGGGGAAUAUUGCACAAUGGAGGGAACUCUGAUGCAGCGACGCCGCGUGAGUGAAGAAGUAAUUCGUUAUGUAAAGCUCUAUCAGCAGGGAAGAAAGUGACGGUACCUGAAAAAGAAGCUCCGGCUAAAUACGUGCCAGCAGCCGCGGUAAUACGUAUGGAGCAAGCGUUAUCCGGAUUUACUGGGUGUAAAGGGAGCGUAGACGGCUGUGCAAGUCUGAAGUGAAAUGCCGGGGCUCAACCCCGGAACUGCUUUGGAAACUGUACAGCUAGAGUGCAGGAGGGGUG
rnacentral:rRNA from 1 species